rnacentral:rRNA from 1 species
GACGAACGCUGGCGGCGUGCUUAACACAUGCAAGUCGAACGGUAAGGCUCCAGCUUGCUGGGGUACACGAGUGGCGAACGGGUGAGUAACACGUGGGUGACCUGCCCUGCACUUCGGGAUAAGCCUGGGAAACUGGGUCUAAUACCGGAUAGGACCAUGGUGUGGAUACUGUGGUGGAAAGUUUUUUCGGUGUGGGAUGGGCGCGCGGCCUAUCAGCUUGUUGGUGGGGUAAUGGCCUACCAAGGCGGCGACGGGUAGCCGGCCUGAGAGGGUGGACGGCCACAUUGGGACUGAGACACGGCCCAGACUCCUACGGGAGGCAGCAGUGGGGAAUAUUGCACAAUGGGCGGAAGCCUGAUGCAGCGACGCCGCGUGGGGGAUGACGGCCUUCGGGUUGUAAACUCCUUUCACCAUCGACGAAGGGUUUCUGACGGUAGAUGGAGAAGAAGCACCGGCUAACUACGUG